CCUUGGUAGGCAAAGUCUUACUGAAAAACCAGAACCAUGUAGUGUUCAGUCACAGGGGCUUCAAGGCCAGGCCACCUUUCAGUCCAAUGGAAGUCACACUCCUCUCUCCUGCUGUUGUAGCGCAGGAUCUCUGGAAUAAAGGGGCUUUUUCCCUCAGCCAUGUGGCCCACCUCAAGAUCGGCAUCACCCAUGUGACAGGCAGUGGCAUCUCUUGCAUCAAGCGUUUAGAGGUGUGGGGUCAGCCAGCCAGGACCUGCUCUCAGGAGCACUCCCUGAUGUCCCCAUGUUUUCUGCAUACAACCUUCUAAUGGAGUUUUGUGACUUGGGACCUCACACAGCCUUCUCUGCCUCAGGGUCACUCAGAAGUGGACCAUGGUAGCGGCUGUUAAGCACAUGACUUAGCCGUGUGUACCCCCACCCCUGCAGACACUUGCAGCCUUAAUAAAGUGACAGUUGACGUUC
rnacentral:lncRNA from 1 species